UGUUCAACUCGAUAAUUCUCACUGGGCUGAGUUGGAAUUGUUUCGAUUCACUGAAAGGAGUUUUAGUGAUAUUGUUGAUAGUGAUCAAAAUAAAUCUCAGAAUAGAAUCUAUGGAGUCACACACAUAAGAGGUUGUGAUUGAUCGGAUAGCUAGAUCGUGAUUAUUGAAUCACCGGAGGACAUAAUUGUCAAUAUGUUGAUAAUUGGACUAAUUUAUAAUUGUUAUAAAUUAGUGGUAUUGAAGUGUAAAUGUUACAAGAGAGGACUUACUAAUAGUUAGUAAAUUAUAAGAGGACUUAUGUGCAAAUAUUGCAUUAUUAAUUUGAUAUAAUCAAAUUAAUAUAAAGAUCGAAUCAAAUUAGAAUUUGAUCGAUCUAACCAAUUAAGGAAAGGAUAAAUUUAAAUCUAAAUUUAUACUUAUCCUUAAUUGUCAUUAUAUUAUUAAAAAAAAAAUUAUAUUCCUUUAUAUAAUAUACGGGAGUUUUUAGAAAACCUUAGCCGUUAUCUCUCUUUUCCUCUCUCUUCCAUAUUCUAGCAAGAACGACGUCUAAUGAUGAUCACAUGCAUUGAUAUGGACUAGUAACAGCAUGAAGAAAUCUAACAGAACUACCAACUAAUUAAGUUUAAAUAAUAUUCCAGAUUGAAGAAUGAGUUGGAGUUCUACAAAUUCUGAAUAUGCACAGAGAGUUUUUUUUUUGGGAUAUUGCUUCAUAGGGUUAAUUACAUCAUUAGUCUCCAACCUUUACACCAUUUUUCACUUAAGUCUCCAACCUUUUCUUUCCAAUCAAUUUCCAUUCUCUUGAUUUUAAAUUAUGUCCCGGCCAUUAAAAAAGUAGUUAAAAUUAACGGACUCGCCAUGUAAGCACUUACAUGGCUAGCUACAUAGCUUUUUUUUGCAUGUCAAUUUUGAUAUCUAAACUUUACAUAUUUUUU
rnacentral:lncRNA from 1 species